rnacentral:misc_RNA from 1 species
UUUUUUUUUUUUUUUCUUUUUCCUACACAGAAACGUUCCACACUGCAUAUUACAUCAAGAAAUGGGUGAUUUGCAUGCUUUCGACAUUGACUUGUUGCAGACCCAAACCAAGCUUCCACUAACAAAAACUAGACAAAUCCCAGUACCCAAUAGUACAUGAUUAAAGGAUUUCCACCAACAAACUGGACAACUAAAAAGAAAACAUGAAAGAUACUCAAGAAGGAGAGUAUUAUGUUACUUUUGGCCCCACCGAACACUAAGAGUUUGAAGGAUUCAAUGUGUCAAUUUGUUCCUAGGCCUUGGUGUUACCCUUAUAGGCAAGCCCCUCUUGGGCACAGGGAAAGGACCAUAUUGUAUUCCAUCCUCGUCUUCCAUAGCUUUCCAUCUGCACCCAAAAACAUCAUAAAAUGAGUAAUAUACAUUUCAUUAUUUAAUUUGAGAUAUUGAGUGUUAAAUUGUUGAAUUAUUGUUAAUUUGAUGUGCUGAUUAACUCAAUGCGACAAGCAUAAUCCAAUUAAAUUACAUAUUCAAACAUUUCUGAACAUGAUCAUUAUAUAAAAACAAAAACCAUUGAAUCUAUUUGGACAUAUAUGUUUACAAUAAUACAAGUCACAUGAAUCACAUCUCUUCAGAGAGGCAUAGAAUGGUAUCUUGCUUUGAAAAUGAAAUUAAGACAAUAAAAUUAUAUAUAUAUAAAUAAAUAAAGAUGACAAAUCAAGAAAUGAUGUGGAGUCUAAUGUGCAGAACAAAGCUGUGGUGUAAAGUAAACGCAGAAUGGUGACACAUCAUCAUUACAUUUGUCACAUUAGCUUGAUUUGAAACAAUAUAGCUGGCAAACUGUGUCGUUUUACUGUAGAGUGUGAUUGUAUGCAUCUAUUGCCCACCUAAAAAUACAUUUCCAUGAGAUAUGCUUUAAAUUGGUUGAUAAAGAUCAGAUAUCCGAGGAAGGAAAUGAAAUUAUUUAUCCUUUUAAGCAUCAGUAUGAUGGGGACAUGGCUAUGGAAAUUUCAGAAAGAGCUAUACCUUAACCAAAUCAAAAUCUGAGGAUAGGGAUGUGUAAAAUCUACUUAGCAAUUGAUCAUGUCCUAGCUUGUUUCUUUAAAAAAAAAAAAAAGGUUUCCAUGUGUAACCAACCUAUCACUAUGAUUCAUUCUAUUGCUUUAGAGCAGGAAUAAGCAUUUGAAUUACUAACAGAUAACACCCAGAAAUCAAGCGGCCAAAUAUUAUACGAUCACCUCCUCUCCUAUGUAGAUCAUGGACCUACUUUGAAUGGGAUGUGUUGCAAAUUGUUGAACUAAUGUAUCAUGCAUGGAGAUACCUAGUUUUUCUAGCUACACCCUACACAUUUCUUUUUCAAAACCCUCAAAGAAAUAGCUUUUCAUUGAGACUAAGGAUCUUCCACAGCCCAAGGAACACCCAAGAAAGGACCAC